AAUGAUCUCGGAAUUUAACUCGCUGGAUUAAAUCUGAGGUGACAAGUCUUGGUCGAUCCUUGAUUCGGAUCUAAGCUUCAAGUCCCACAUUAACAAGCUCCUGUUUGCCUCCAAGAACACUGCGAUCAUCUGCUGCUGGUUUACUGGAAGACGACCAGAGAUGCAGCCUUUGUCAGUGACGCCCCAGACUGCUCUUAUUGUAAAGAGCUUUGUGCUGCAUUUCUUGUAUUAAAGCUGAUUUAUAAAUAAAGUUUCAUAUCAUUAUUAGUUUUAAAGACAAAGGCCAGGUGUUAGGGGGCAUAGCGUUCUGUUGUCCACUGGGAAAGAGGCUUCAGUUUGGUUCUUUUCAACACUUUAUCUUUGUUGUCUGAGUAAACAACAAACUUUUGAAUUCUCUAGUCUUGCUGACAGUCACGCUGUGUUCAUGAUCGGGGCACGUGCACACUGGUGACUCAGCUGAAAUGAUCACCACGUGGUUGACAGAGAUAAACCGCAGACAGAUCUGAAGCAACAGUGUGGCUUAUUUUGAUGGUGUGGACUAAAACUUCAAACAGAAAUGACAAGAAGAAGCUGCAGACUGUCGACCUCAAGCUCGUCUUUCUGAUUCUAGAAAACAGCUGAGAACAUUUCAGGCUUCAUCUGUGUCAAACUAAGUUUCACAGGAGGACAGACUGAGAAAGGAUGAACAAAAACACCAUCUUAGUUCUGCUUCUGCAAGUGGAGAGGAAAUAACUUGACUCUGUUCAGCAGAAAAAAACACUAAUUAUAGCUGCUGCGCAGCGACGUGCAGGUUUAGCAGCCGUCCAUGCAUGGAAAAGCAGAUUUCAAACCACUGUAAAAAAAUUCAGUUAUCGAAACAACAAUCUGAAAAUACACAUAUUGCAUCUAGACAGCAUGGAGAUGUUGGUAAUUUGUUUGUAACAAUGAUUGAUUUGCUCCAUAAGUGAAAAACUGAUGUUUAAAAUUGCCAUUUUUACAUUGACUCCAAUUGUUCACAUUAGAGCAAAAUUCAAAAUGCUGUCAAAAAUUCAGUUUUUGAGAUAAAAUUCUGAAAUUUGCCACACAUCAUCUACCAUGACUCUAGAAUUUUGUCAUUUUUUUCAUGAACAUUGAAGAUUUAUUUAGCAAGAAUUUGCAUGUAUAUGUUUACAGUACCGUUUACAGUCAAACAUUUUGAUGCACUGUAGGCUCAAUUUUUGAUAAAUCAAAAAUCUGAGAAACAUAGUUUUUGUAGGACAGUCUGAAGAUGCUCUGUAGCAAGUUUGGUGUCAAUUGAGCAAAAAUUGUGGGAGGAGAUAGGUUUAAGAAGUUUUACAGUUUUUGAAAAAAACAGAGUGAUGAACUUCAUAAUUUUUAAUAGGUUUAAAUGUACAAAAGUUUCUUCAGUAUUGGGGCUACAGUUUGAUGAAAGUUGUGAAGUUGUAGCACGUAUGGUUGAUUUGUUAUGAAUUUUCAAAGUUUUGAACUUUAGACGCUUGCUGUAGCGCCACCAUCAGGACUAUUGGCUUGAGUUUACAGCUGAGGAUAUCUGGCAUGAGACUGGACCUUUGUGCAAAGUUUGGUGAGUUUUCACCCAUGGGAAGUAUGAUUUCCUCGGAAGAAGAAAGAAGAAAGAAGAAGAAUACCUAGGAUUACAAUAGUGUGGACCCUAAAUAAAGAAGACUGUAAAUACUUCAAGGGGCUGCUGCAGAAAUACAUGCAGGUUAUGUAACAGAAUUAAAAAAGGAGGUUUGGUUUCAUGAAAAUCUUCAAUCAGUGUUUUCAUGGAGCGUCUGCAGUGAGCAUGUGCGGUUUAUAAACCUGCACAGACACGUCUGACCUGAUGUCUAAAGUCUAACAGAUUCGGGUAAACUAACUUCAGUCUCACUUCUCCUGCUUCACUGACACGACUCUUGCUCGUCUGUAUUAUGAACAAUGACUGUAUUAAUAAAACAGAGAAACAUGUAAACACUGAUAAAUAUAUUUAUUCAUAAAAAAGAAAGCUUAUACAGGUGCUUGUAAAGUGCAACAUAAAAACAGGCACUGAAAAAAUAGCUUCAGCUCCGCAGUGAGACUGAGAAGCUCUGAUGCUCGUUUCAUUCGUCGAUCAUCCUUAAUGAACUUCCAUAACUGAUU